UCUUUGAGCGGCCGAUGUCAGAUUAGCUAGUUGGUGAGGUAAAGGCUUACCAAGGCGACGAUCUGUAGCGGGUCUGAGAGGAUGAUCCGCCACACUGGAACUGAGACACGGUCCAGACUCCUACGGGAGGCAGCAGUGGGGAAUUUUGGACAAUGGGCGCAAGCCUGAUCCAGCCAUGCCGCGUGAGUGAAGAAGGCCUUCGGGUUGUAAAGCUCUUUCGGCCGGG
rnacentral:rRNA from 1 species